UACGUAGGGUGCAAGCGUUGUCCGGAAUUAUUGGGCGUAAAGAGCUCGUAGGCGGUUUGUCGCGUCUGCUGUGAAAACCCGAGGCUCAACCUCGGGCCUGCAGUGGGUACGGGCAGACUAGAGUGGCGGUAGGGGAGAUUGGAAUUCCUGGUGUAGGCGGUGGAAUGCGCAGAUAUCAGGAGGAACAACCAAUGGCGAAGGCAGAUCUCUGGGCCGUAACUGACGCUGAGGAGCGAAAGCAUGGGGAGCGAACAGG
rnacentral:rRNA from 1 species